rnacentral:lncRNA from 1 species
AAAGGAUCCACCAGAAAGAGAGGGCACCAGCAGAAGGCAUCCUCUAUAAGAUAAAUCUUAUAAAAUAUAUAUAUUUAUGAUAAUUAAGACUGAGCCAGCAGAUGAGAAAUCCUAGCUAUUGGGCAAGCAGCAUUUGUACCAAAUAUAAGUCUCUGUAUAUUAUUUUGGGCCCUAACUAGGCGGGCAGAACUUGGGUGGCUGGUGGAAAGCGCCCACAUGGCAGUAGGGCUCAGGUGGCUUUUGGCAAAAAGAUUUAUCAUAACACAAGAUGAGAGUAGUGGCAAGCUAGUUAAACCCUCAUGUAUGCAAACAGUGUGCUGAAAACUAAACGUCAAAUGUGUCCACUUAUGCAAACAGUUAUUUCUAAUUAUAUAUGACAUGGGGUAUCCUGUGCUUCCGGGGUGCUACAGAAAGGACUUCACCUAGUAGAGACAUAUGCCCACUGAUGGAUAAUCCAGGUUGCCUGUGGAUGAAGUGCAAUGCUCUGCCAUGUCCUUCAGCAUGAGGAAUGGAAAAAAGUCUCAAUUUCUGCAGAGUAUACAUUGGACAGGGAAGUGCAUGUGGCCUUGCAAACUGAAGAAUUCAGCUGCUGAAAUCUGUUCCAAGAAGUAGAGACUGCAUUUGGAGGGUGUGGCUUGCGGGUUUCACUUACUGUUGAAAUAGAGGAUGACUUCCAAAAAACUGACAGGAGCACAGAGCCUGUGUCAUCUCCAUUCCCAGUGAUUUCUCUUUGAUUGAUGUGCCAUUAAUGCUUUAAUUGGCAACAGGUGCGGAUGAUUGCUGUUUCCUAUGCUGAGAAAUGUGAAAUUGAACAUAAGGUUCUGAUAAAUUAAUAAACUCCUCUGCUCCAAACAGUUGUUGCUCCAAACUAACUUUCCAUGGAGCACUGCUCCAUCAAGC